AAAACACAUUUCAAUUCACACAUGUAUAAUACACACUUGUACGUGUGUGAAAUAUUAUCAUCAUCUCGUCAACAUAUUGAAUGUCUCUAAAUCGCCAAAUCUAUUCCCUGCUUGCAUAGAAAAGUUAGAUGACCUUCCCUGUCAACCUUCAGUCUCAACUUCUGCAUUCUGCUUGUGAAAUUGUUAUUAUCACAUCAGUCCAUGGUAUUUGCAUGGUCAUUUGCUGACCAGUCUCAUUCUGUGGACAUGCUCUGCAGAUAGUUGUUGGUGUUGCUGUUUGAUGCGAUGUGGCUCUUUGAAACAACCAGUAUGAUUACUCUCAAGUUGCCAGGUGAGUAGAUUAUAUAUUUUUUGUUUGAUACUCUAUCAUUCUGUGGAUGCCAGUAUUCAGUUAUGAAUAAAUUAAUGAUAUAAACUGUAUAUUGUAUAUGGCUCAUUAGAGAUGAGCAAGGAACUGAUCAGAGGGGAUAUUUGAUACUGGUCUAAUGCUAUUGUUGUUACCUUGAUGGUGAAAUAAAUAUUUAUCAAAUGACUAACCUCAAGGGAAAGUAAUAUAUUAUUAUCUAAGAUUACAGAUUAACUAACUCUUUAGAUCAACAAAAAUACAGAAGUGACUGAUAGCCUGUUUGUGCACCAGCAUGUGAAGAGUAUUACUGUAUCUUUCAAAUUAACAUAUCUGAAGGUAGACCCCUUUAGGAAUGCUAUAUUAUAUUUUCCUACCUUUAAAAAGGGCAAAUCGGUACUGUACAUAUGAGUGUUGUAGAUAAGUGUGAUAACUGUUUUUUGAGGGAGUAAUUGGAAAAUGACAUUCAAUGAUACAACACCAUAGCUCCAUGUGCCUUAACAAGUUGAGGGUAAGGUCAUCUAAACCCUUAACCUGUUUACAUUAUGUGGAACACUGAGCUGAUGAGCAAGCACCAACCUUUUGAAGGUUAAACAACUGGGUUUUAUAUUUUGACUAGGUUGAUGUCCAGGGACAGUUAGUGAAAAACAUAGGUCAAUCCAACCCUAUUGUGGUAAGAAAUAUGGAAACAGUGGUUAACAUUGAGAGAUUUAUUCAUCUCUGAAUCUACAUUUCUCUUGGUAUGUGUGUGUAUUUUUGAUACUCACUCCCAUUAAUAGAAGUCUAACCUUUAUUAUCAUUAUAGUAUUACCAUACUAAUUGGAUUCCACAACCCAGAAUGAAGGGUUUGAAAUUAUGAAGUGUCUGUUUUUUUUCUGUGUUGAUUUCCAUUACUUUAAUAGGAGUAUAGAAUAUUUUGAUAUAGAAGCUAAAAUCUAAAUGCUUACAUUAAAAUGUAAUGAUUAUUGUCACACAAGUGAUGAGGAUGGAAUGUAAUGGACAUUUAAUGUUUGUGCUUUCCUUAUAACUAAUUUCUGUGUUCAAUUCAUGUGCUGUUAUAUAAACCAAUUUAUGUGUUCAUGCAAGUGGUUGACUGUACAAAUCCUCACUAUCAGUAGCUGAAAUUUGGAAGUACGCCCAGACCUUGUUUUGAAAGAUAUCUCAGUUUCAAGGUCUCAGCUUAGAGAGAUGAAGCCUCAUGAGGUAUUGGUCUGUCACGUGUUAUGAACCAGUAUUGGUCUGUCACAAAACACUAAUGAUUAAUUAUGCUACAUCAUGCAAAUAUAACUUGUCUGCGUAUAGCCGUAUAGAAGACAACUAUUGGGACUGCCCAGGCAGAGCUCCUGAUUGACAUGUGUACUAUGAUGUUUUGAGUUGGUUGGAACCUCUCCAGCAUGCUGACAAAUAAACAAUGAUUAAUUUAAGAUUGACUUUGAGUGUCCCUGUGAAAGAAUUUCCAAGACAUAACCAUAUCUGUCUUAUGUAACCAUACAAAAUGUAACAUAUCAUACUAAUUUGGUAUACUUGAUUGACGUUUACUAUGUUAUGUCUAGUCUAUGAGACCAGGCUUUUCUGAGUUCCUCAGAGACAGUAGUGCUUUUACUUAGGGUGAUUUUAUUGUGCUAAUUUAUCUUCCUGGUAGCAUUUUAUUUGGCUUAUUUAUUUUACUUCCAUCAGUCUCUCUGGUUUCACUGUUGUUUUCUUGCCCUAUUCAGUUUAAUUUUACCAUUUUAAUUUGUCUAGGUCAUCUAUCAUAUCUUUGUCAUUUUUAUAUAUGUAUUUAUUAUUUUACUUUUGGUUUUAAGAACUUUCAAAUGCAUUAACUUGUGCUCUAUGAAUAAAGUUUGAUUUGAUAUAGAAUUAUGCCGUACCGUAGGUCAAACAUGUCUUUCUAACAUGCAGAAAUAAGGAAUCAUUAGAGUCCUUCCUCUUACUCAAACACCAAGACAAUAUAUCAAAUUGCUUCGAAGAAGAAGUCUGUCUCAUGAUAGCAUGGUCAGCAUAAUGUUUAUAACACAUUUCUAAUGUACAGUAUUUAGCCAAAAACCUGUUUGCCUCUGCCAGUAUAGCGGACAUGAGCCGAAGAAUGGUUGCUCAUGGUCACAUGAAGCAGUAGCCCCCCUGCAACUUCAAAGUCAAUGUCUGGCCUCAGCCCAAGAGGGGAUUUCCUCUUGGUUUAAUGGUAAGAAGUUGGUUUCUUCUGCGGUAAAGUCAGGGUUUGUACCCCUUCUGUCACAUCAGGAAGCUGAAACUUGGCCGCAAGUGGAACUUCCAGCAAGGCAAUAACACCAAGCACACAUCAAAAUCAACAUGUUGCAAUUCCCAAUUGCUGGUCUAAAGUAGUGCACUAUAUAGGGAAUAGGGUGCCAUUUGGGAUGCAGACCUAGCCUGUCUGGGAUUUUUUAUUGAGAAAUGUGUUUAAAAUUCAACUGCUAAACUGUCACUCAGGCUGUCAGAACAUUACUUUUGCCAUUGUCAAAGCAGGGGGAAAUUAAACAUCUCUGCAGAAUGGAUGGCCUUCACUGGUUGUGGAAUAGAUGAAAAGUCUUCAGUCAAACAUAGAUUAUGUAGCUCCACCCUAUAGAAGAAAUAAAUAGAGAGAGAGAGAAACAUACAAUUCUUUAUCUCCACCUUUUCCCCGACCCAUCUAUUUGCAUAAUGAUAACAAAGCCCUUUCCCUGUCAUUUUAACUAAACUCAGCAAAAAAAGAAACGUCCUCUCACUGUCAACUACGUUUAUUUUCAGCAAACUUAACAUGUGUAAAUAUUUGUAUGAACAUAACAAGAUUCAAUAACUGAGACAUAAACUGAACAAGUUCCACAGACAUGUUACUAACAGAAAUGUAAUAAUGUGUCCCUGAACAAAGGGGGGGGGGUCAAAAUCAAAAGUAACAGUAUCUGGUGUGGCCACCAGCUACAUUAAGUACUGCAGCGCAUAUCCUCCUCAUGCACUGCACCAAAUUUGCCAGUUCUUGCUGUGAGAUUUUUCCACACUCUUCCACCAAGGCACCUGCAAAUUCCCAGACAUUUCUGGGGGGAAUGGCCCUAGCCCUCACCCGCCGAUCCAACAGGUCCCAGACGUGCUCAAUGGGAUUGAGAUCUGGGCUCUUCGCUGGCAAUGGCAGAACACUAACAUUUCUGUCUUGCAGAAAAUCAUGCACAGAACGAGCAGUAUGGCUGGUGGCUUUGUCAUGCUUGAGGGUCAUGUCAGGAUGAGCCUGCAGGAAGGGUACCACAUGAGGGAAGAGGAUGUCUUCCCUGUAACACACAGUGUUAAGAUUGCCUGCAAUGACAUCAAGCUCAGUCCAAUGAUGCUGUGACACACCACCCCAGACCAUGACAGACCCUCCACCUCCAAAUCGAUCCCGCCCCAGAGUACAGGCCUCGGUGUAACGAUCAUUCCUUUGACGAUAAACGCGAAUCCGACUAUCACCCCUGGUGAGACAAAACCGUGACUUGUCAGUGAAGAGCACUUUUUGCCAGUCCUGUCUGGUCCAGCGACAGUGGGUUUGUGCCUAUUGGCGAUGUUGUUGCCGGUGAUGUCUGGUUAGGACCUGCCUUACAACAGGCCUACAAGCCCUCAGUCCAGCCUCUCUCAGCCUAUUGCCCGGGGGUAUCAUCGGAUGGGGCCACAGUGUCUUCUGACCCCUCCUGUCUCAGCCUCCAGUAUUUAUGCUGCAGUAGUUUAUGUGCCGGGGGGCUAGGGUCAGUCUGUUAUAUCUGGAGUAUUUCUCCUGUCCUAUCCGGUGUCCUGUGUGAAUUUAAGUAUGCUCUCUCUAAUUCUUUCUUUCUUUCUCUCUCUCUCUCUCUCUCUCUCUCUCUCGGAGGACCUGAGCCCUAGGACCAUGCCUCAGGACUACCUGGCAUGAUGACUCCUUGUUGUCCCCAGUCCACCUGGCCGUGCUGCUGCUCCAGUUUCAACUGUUCUGCCUGCUGCUAUGGAACCCUGACCUGUUCACUGUGAUUACUAUUAUUUGACCAUGCUGGUCAUUUAUGAACAUUUGAACAUCUUGGCCAUGUUCUGUUAUAAUCUCCACCCGGCACAGCCAGAAGAGGGCUGGCCACCCCUCAUAGCCUGGUUUCUCUCUAGGUUUCUUCCUAGGUUUUGGCCUUUCUAGGGAGUUUUUCCUAGCCACCGUGCUUCUACACCUGCAUUGCUUGCUGUUUGGGGUUUUAGGCUGGGUUUCUGUACAGCACUUUGAUAUAUCAGCUGAUGUAAGAAGGGCUAUAUAAAUACAUUUGAUUUGAUUUGAUUAUUGCGGACAGUCUGAGCACUGAUGGAGGGAUUGUGCGUUCCUGGUGUAACUCGGGCAGUUGUUGUUGCCAUCCUGUACCUGUCCUACAGGUGUGAUGUUCGGAUGUUCCCUGUCGUUCAGCCAUCAAACCAUUCACUGCUCCACCAGGUGUGUGGGAAACUUUGAUCUUGUGCCUCCAUUCUCCACUGAUACAUAUGGGCUGAUGCUGAGAGUCGUUGUGGGAGUACCCAUGAUGUAUAGAGCAUUUGGACAAGAGUGAAGAAAAAGAGCAGUGCGUAGCUAAUUGAUGGAUUUUAUUUUGGGUAAAAAAAAACAUUGUACAGUUUAAAAAAAACAUUACUUAAUAACAAGAAAAUCCAGAGGAUGAAAAACACUUAUUUCCAGUGUGGUCCUCAGUUAAUGAUAUGCUACUUUUCGUUGAGCUAUAAACAUGUACCACUGCAGCAGCUACACUGUAAAAAUAGAAAGUCUCAAAACACCAUGAUUGUGUAAUGAAAUCACAAAGUAAUGCACCUAAGCUGAGAUCUGGUGUUUGGAGGGUGUUUGAUUUAAACCCAAUGUAUUUGAUUUAAUGCACAGAAUGUGUUUUAAAACAGAAAUUAAGUACUCCAAAAAACCCAAAGUGGUUCUUCACUGUACCCCGGGCGCCGAUGACGUCGAGGCAGCCCCCUGCACCUCUCUGAUUGAGACACAUUUCAGUUGAAUGCAUUCAGUUGUACAACUGACUAGGUAUCCCCCUUUCCCCUUUCAAACUUAAUACUGGUGUUUUUUAAAAGUGUUGUGAAAACACAUUGAGGGUUUCAGUGCAUGUAAAAAGCAGCAAUAAAACACCAAAACUGUGUUUCUCACACAAUGAAUGAUUUAGAAAUGCAAAUGGUUUAUAUCCUAAAUAUUGAUUAAUGAUUAAGGGCCUAACGAUAAUAUUUUUGGGGGAAUUCCACCUUAACUUCUUCAAUGCUUUAAUUAGACAGACUCGAAAUAGGAGGGGCAGUAAGAUUCAAAUCAAAUUUUAAUUGGUCACAUACACGUUUAGCAGAUGUUAUUGCAGGUGUAGCGAAAUGUUUGUGUUUCUAGCUCCAACAGUGCAGUAAUAUCUAAACAGGUAAUAUCUAAUAAUUUCACCACAAUACACACAAAUCUGAAGUAAAGGAAUGGAAUUAAGAAUAUAUAAAUAUUUGUAUGAGCUAAACACAUUUUUCACCCGCUUUGAGGAUAACACAGUGCCACUGACAUGGCCAGGUACCAAGGACUGUGUCCUUCUCCGUGGCCGACGUGAGUAAGACAUUUUAACGUGUUAAACCGCGCAAGGCAGGCCCAGACAACAUCCCUAGCUGCAUCCUCAGAGCAUGCACAGACCAACUGGCUGGAGUGUUUACGGACAUAUUCUAUCUCCCUAUCCCAGUCUGCUGUCCCCACAUGCUUCAAGAUGGCCACCAUUGUUCCUGUACCCAAGAAAGUAAAGGUAACUGAAUAUCGCUUCUGUCAUCAUGAAGUGCUUUGAAAGACUAGUGUCAUGUAAUUAUUGUAAUCAAAAGGAGAGACUUAAAUUUCCUCAAAACAAGUAAACUUUAUUAUUUAAUUACAUCAGUAAUGGAGCUUUACAACGACACUAGUCAAGGAUCAUAUCACCUCUACCUUACAAUUGAUUAAAUGUAGAUUUUUUUUUGUCACACACAAUACCCCAUGUCAAAGUGGAAUAAUGUUUUUAGACAUUUUUUUAAUUAAGUGAAUAGCUGAAAUAAGUAUUCAAUCCCUUUGUUAUGGCAAGCCUAAAUAAGUUUAGUAGUAAAGAUUUGCUUAACAAGUCACAUAACAGAGCCCCACUGUGGAGGUGUCAUAAUACCCAUAAAACCAAGCAGUCAAACAGGGAAAUGGUUCCAAUUGUCUUUCCACCAUACAUUUUUCCCAAAGGGGAUUUUAGAAACACUUAAAAUAAGGGCUUUGUUUCGUGUAUGCUUACAUGAUGUUUUGAUAACCAUGUAAAACUCUCCAGGACAAGGUGACUUUUAUCAAUAUAUUCGGCUCUAUUUACUCUCAGAUUUGAAAAUGCUAAUUUGCCUCGAUUCUGUAGUCUAGCCUAGAUCAUCAUUGUCACGUCCUGACCCUAGUAAGAUGUCAUUUUCUACAGUAGAGUAGGGCAGGGCGUGACAGGGGGUGUUUUGGGUUGUUCUAUGUUUUCUAUUUCUAUGUUUAAGUUCUAGUUUUUCUAAUUCUAUGUUGGGAUUGUUUGGGGUUGAUCUCUAAUUGGAGGCAGCUGAUCCUCAUUGCCCCUGAUUAGAGAUCAUAUUUAAGUAGGGGUUUUUCUCUUCCUGUUAGUGGGUUAUUAUCUUUUGAGUAGUGUGGUUUUCUUGCGGCGUCACGGUUUGUUGUUUUUGUAUAUUCAAGUAUUUAAGUGUAUUGCAUUCAGUUUCACGUUUAAUAAAUAUGUGGAACUGCGAACACGGUGCAUUUUGGUCCGCUUCUUCAAACAGCCGUGACAAUCAUGGCAUUUGCAGUUCUGUAUGAUAGCCG
rnacentral:lncRNA from 1 species